ACGCUCGACACCUACGGGAGGCAGCAGUGAGGAAUAUUGGUCAAUGGGCGCUAGCCUGAACCAGCCAAGUAGCGUGAAGGAUGAAGGCUCUAUGGGUCGUAAACUUCUUUUAUAUAAGAAUAAAGUGCAGUAUGUAUACUGUUUUGUAUGUAUUAUAUGAAUAAGGAUCGGCUAACUCCGUACCAGCAGCCGCAGUAAUCUGAGCGGGCUGGCAAGGC
rnacentral:rRNA from 1 species